UUUGGGCCCCCGGCGGCUUAAUUUUACCUUAUCACCGGGGAAACCUUUUCUCCGGCCCGGACACCGGGAAGAAAUCGCACGGAUUGAACAGCCCUUUCUUUGACUCGGGGGGUUGGGUGGUGCAUGGCCCGUUCUUAGUUUGGGGGGAACGAUUUUGUCCGGUUUUCCCCCGAAUCACAAAACGAGACCCUGGCCUACUUAAUAGUGACAGGGUUUAUUACUGUCUUGGAUACUUCCUUAGAGGGACAAAGUGGUUUUUCAGCCACCACAAAAUUGAGCAAUAAACAGGUCUGGUGAUGGCCCUUAAGAUGGUCCGGGGCUGCACGCGCCGCUACCACUGAAAGGAAUCCAGCGUUGCUAAAACCAUAUUGUCGAAAGGGCAUUGGGUAAACCCAAUUAAAAUCCUACGUUGAUUGGGAUCCGGGAAUUGCAAUUUAUUUCCCCUUGAACGAAGAAAUUCCCAGUUAAGUUGUGUGGUCACUAACCUCCGCGUUGAAUUACGGUCCCCUGCCCCUUUUG
rnacentral:rRNA from 1 species